GCGAUUUUUAGGAUUCCAAAUUGAAAUGGUUGAUUACGGUGGCUUUGGGUGUGGAUUGAAAGAGGGUAUCUCGGUUAUUCUUGGGGUUUGUAGAUUUUGGGAUGGGAUUGACCUUCCAUCACUGAUUCGGGAACGAUAUGGACAGUUAUUUCCAGAUCCGGCCCCAUGUGAGGGAUCUGUGGUUUCGUGGCCUUUGGAGAUAAGGUUUCAGGGCGAGUUUAGGAUCUAUGGGGGGAGUAGUAUGAUUUUGUGGUCAUCAUGUCCCUCCUGUGGGAUCCGCGAUCCAGGUCGAUUGGAUUCGAGGUUUCCUUUUCUGAGUUUUUGGGUCGAUGCGUAUCUCGAAUUGAUCCUGGGUUUUUAUGAGAUCUUCGCAAUCAUGGUUCGGAAUCUCUUGACAGCGGAUCAAGGGAUUUUCUUUCAUUGCAUUUGGUGGAUUGAUGGUAAGAGUAUAUUCAUCUAUUUACAGUCCUGAGGAAAUUUGGAAAGCAAGUGGAUACGAAUUCAGAUUUUUUGGGGUCUGGUAGGCUCGGAUUGUGGGUGUUUAUGUAGCUGGUCUCGAGGUUUAGCUAUUUUCGACAUCACUUUGCAUUCUCUCAGUUUCUGGUGUUUUAGUCGGUAUUGUGUUCAUUGGUGGUUCGGAGUUUUGCAUUUGGUUUCUCCGCUCUCAUAUUUGGGAUCUUCUCCGUGGUUUGCUAUGGCUCAACUGGCGCUCAACAAAGGCAAGUCUGCACUGGUCCGUACGGAGGUUGUAAAGAUCUCUAGCUCUGUCUUGGCUCAGCGGAUUCAACAGUUUUCUCUCACUUUAAUUGGAAGACUGAUGAAUCCUGCGGUCCAGAGAAUGGAGUCUCUUCUUUCUAAUUUGCCUAAGAUAUGGAAGUUAGAAGACAAAGUUAUGGGAGAGGAUUUGGGUCAGGGAACGUUUCAGUUCAAUUUUGAGGAAGAGGCGGAUCUUCAGGGAGUUUUACUCAAUGGUCCCUACCAUUUCGAUGGCUGGAUGCUUUCAUUGGUUCGUUGGGAACCCAUAGUGUCCGACUCUUAUCCCUCGGCCAUUAGUUUUUGGGUGAAGGUGGGAGGUAUCCCUAUGCACCUAUGGGAGUUAGCAACGCUUGAGGCAAUAGAGAGGAAGGUUGGGAAGAUCAAGGAUCUCGAUGAGGACACAGGAAGUAUUUGUGUCACGGUGAAUGGCUUUAACCCUUUGCUUUUCAAUCUGGUGGUUCCCUUUGAUACAGGGGACGAGGUGGUGGUUACCAUUGAUUAUGAGAAGUUGUCUGGGUUUUGUAAACAUUGCUACAAAUUAACACACGAUGUACUGGUCUGUCCCGAGUUGAAGGUGGCCCCAGCGGGUCGCGGAAGUGUGGAUCAUGUGUAUAAAAGAGGGACACAACGGCAGCAACAUGGUUAAACAGGGUUCUGUUGCUCAACAUGAUGGGGGUUGGGAGAAACCAAGGAAACAUGUCAAACGGGCCUUGGAUUUUCAAGCUGAGCACUCUUAUGACAGGCGUCAAGCUCAGUUCAGGGGUGGAGAGUCCAACUCUUCUGGUACCUCUCUUCAAGCGAGGAAUCAAAGGCACGCUUGGGGACAGAAGAUGAGAUAUCUUGGCAGUGGUUCGGGCACCAAUACGGGGUAUGAUUUUUCAUAGUCACAGAUGGUUGGUGGUGUCACGGUGGAUCCUUCUAUGGAGUUACCUCCACUCAGGAAGGGGAUUCGUCCUGUUUGGCCCAAACCAAUGUACAAGGUUAAGCAAUCAUCGGGUGAGAAGAAAUCUCAAAGUCUAGAACACAGUGGUGUGGGUGUCGAGGAUACCUCAAUGGAAGUGAAUGUGGAGAAUGGUUCAGGUGGAGGGGAUCAAGAUCUUGAGGAUCAGGGUUUUAAUGAGAGCACCGACGAUUUGUUAGAGGAUGGGGAAUUUGAUGAUGUUGAUAUCCCGGAGGAUUCAAGGCAAGGUUCGAAGAUAGUUAUGGAGGCUGGUUUAGAGUCUGGCUUAGGAGGGGAGGAUAAUAAUGUUCAAGGCACGAAUAUUUCUGCUCCUUUAUACUUGAGUCUGCGGGAUAUGAAUGAUGCUAUAAGGUCUGUUUCCCUGGGUAAGGGCAUUAAACCAGUGGUGGUUGGUAAACAAGGUCAGAAGACAAGAGAUGGCAUUCCUGCUGGUGGAGGAAGUCGUCCUCACAAGAAAGGGAUGGUGGCACUCCUGAAACCACCGGCUCAAACGUGAAGAUCUUAAGCUGGAACUGUCAGGGUAUUGGGGCUGAUCUGACAGAGAAUUAUUUGGGUGAUCUGUGGAAGAAGCAUCGACCAGACAUUUUAUUUCUGUUAGAAACAAAAAAGUGUUUUUCUUAUUUACAAAAACUUCAGAAUAAGUUUGGUUAUAAUAAUUUGUUUACUAUUGAUCCCUGCGGGUCUAGUGGGGGCUUAGCUUUGUUUUUUAUGGAUGAAAUAAAACUUUCAGUUCUUUUU